GAUCCUGGCUCAGGAUGAACGCUAGCUACAGGCUUAACACAUGCAAGUCGAGGGGCAGCAUGGUCUUAGCUUGCUAGGGCCGAUGGCGACCGGCGCACGGGUGAGUAACACGUAUCCAACCUGCCGUCUACUCUUGGACAGCCUUCUGAAAGGGAGAUUAAUACAAGAUGGCAUCAUGAGUUCACAUGUUCACAUGAUUAAAGGUAUUCCGGUAGACGAUGGGG
rnacentral:rRNA from 1 species